rnacentral:tRNA from 1 species
GGCCCUAUGGUCAAGCGGUUAAGACAUCGCCCUUUCACGGCGGUAACACGGGUUCGAAUCCCGUUAGGGUCA